CAGUAGCCGCGGUAAUACGAAGGGGGCUAGCGUUGCUCGGAAUGACUGGGCGUAAAGGGCGCGUAGGCGGCAUGUACAGUCAGACGUGAAAUUCCUGGGCUUAACCUGGGGGCUGCGUUUGAUACGUGCAGGCUAGAGUGGGGAAGAGGGUUGUGGAAUUCCUAGUGUAGAGGUGAAAUUCGUAGAUAUUGGGAAGAACACCGGUGGCGAAGGCGGCAACCUGGUCCUUGACUGACGCUGAGGCGCGAAAGCGUGGGGAGCAAACAGGAUUAGAUACCCCAGUAGUCCCUGUCUCUUAUAC
rnacentral:rRNA from 1 species